rnacentral:rRNA from 1 species
CCUACGGGAGGCAGCAGUGGGGAAUAUUGGACAAUGGGCGAAAGCCUGAUCCAGCCAUGCCGCGUGUGUGAAGAAGGCCUUCGGGUUGUAAAGCACUUCCAGUGGGGAAGAAAGCCUUGGGGCUAAUACCCUCGAGGAAGGACAUCACCCACAGAAGAAGCACCGGCUAACUCCGUGCCAGCAGCCGCGGUAAUACGGAGGGUGCGAGCGUGAAUCGGAAUUACUGGGCGUAAAGCGCGCGUAGGCGGUCUGAUAAGCCGGUUGUGAAAGCCCCGGGCUCAACCUGGGAACGGCAUCCGGAACUGUCAGGCUAGAGUGCAGGAGAGGAAGGUAGAAUUCCCGGUGUAGCGGUGAAAUGCGUAGAGAUCGGGAGGAAUACCAGUGGCGAAGGCGGCCUUCUGGACUGACACUGACGCUGAGGUGCGAAAGCGUGGGUAGCAAACAGGAUUAGAUACCCCGGUAGUC